AGUGAACGCUGGCGGCAGGCCUAACACAUGCAAGUCGAACGGCAGCACAGAGGAGCUUGCUCCUUGGGUGGCGAGUGGCGGACGGGUGAGGAAUACAUCGGAAUCUGCCUUAAUCGUGGGGGAUAACGUAGGGAAACUUACGCUAAUACCGCAUACGACCUACGGGUGAAAGCGGAGGACCUUCGGGCUUCGCGCGAUAAGAUGAGCCGAUGUCGGAUUAGCUAGUUGGCGGGGUAAAGGCCCACCAAGGCGACGAUCCGUAGCUGGUCUGAGAGGAUGAUCAGCCACACUGGAACUGAGACACGGUCCAGACUCCUACGGGAGGCAGCAGUGGGGAAUAUUGGACAAUGGGCGCAAGCCUGAUCCAGCCAUGCCGCGUGUGUGAAGAAGGCCUCGGUUGUAAG
rnacentral:rRNA from 1 species